ACGAACGUUGGCGGCGUGGAUGAGGCAUGCAAGAGUCGAGCGAGAAAGCACCUUCGGGUGUGAGUACAGCGGCGGACGGGUGAGUAACACGUAAUCAAGUUGCCCUCAAGACCGGGAUAACAGCGGGAAGCUGCUGCUAAUACUGGAUAGCUUCAUCGGGUCGCAUGGCCUGAUGAAUAAAUGGUUGGGAUCCUCCGGGACCUUCCGCUUGAGAGACGAUUGCGUUCUAUCAGCUUGUUGGUGGGGUAACGGCCUACCAAGGCUACGACGGAUAGCAGGCCUGAGAGGGUGGUCUGCCACACUGGGACUGAGACACUGCCCAGACUCCUACGGGAGGCUGCAGUCGAGAAUCUUCCGCAAUGGGCGAAAGCCUGACGGAGCGACGCCGCGUGAAGGACGAAGGCCCUAGGGUUGUAAACUACUGUCGCGAAUUAUGAAUGCGGGUAGGUCAAUAGCCUGCGCGUUGACGUAAGUCCGAGAGGAAGCACCGGCUAACUCUGUGCCAGCAGCCGCGGUAAUACAGAGGGUGCAAACGUUGUUCGGAAUCACUGGGCAUAAAGCGUACGUAGGCGGUUUGUUAAGUGUGAAGUGAAAGCCCACGGCUUACCCGUGGAACUGCUUUGCAUACUGGCAAACUCGAGGACGGUAGGGGAGAGCGGAACUCUUGGUGGAGCGGUGAAAUGCGUAGAUAUCAAGGGGAACACCGAUGGCGAAGGCAGCUCUCUGGUCCGUUUCUGACGCUGAGGUACGAAAGCUAGGGUAGCGAACGGGAUUAGAUACCCCGGUAGUCCUAGCUGUAAACGAUGAGCACUAGUUAGAGGUCCUUCCUGUAGGGUCUCUGGCGAAGCUAACGCAAUAAGUUGACCGCCUGGGGAGUACGGCCGCAAGGCUAAAACUCAAAUGAAUUGACGGGGGCCCGCACAAGCGGUGGAGCAUGUGGUUUAAUUCGAUGCAACGCGAAGAACCUUACCCAGCCUUGACAUCUAGGGAUAACUCUUGUGAAAGCAGGGGGAUUGCCUUCGGGUGUAACCUAGACAGGUGUUGCAUGGCUGUCGUCAGCUCGUGUCGUGAGAUGUCGGGUUAAGUCCCUUAACGAGCGAAACCCCUAUCAUUAGUUGCCAGCGGGUAAUGCCGGGGACUCUAAUGAGACUGCCGUUGUUAAAACGGAGGAAGGUGGGGAUGACGUCAAGUCAUCAUGGCCCUUACGGCUGGGGCUACACACGUGCUACAAUGGUUGAGACAGAGGGCAGCAAACCAGCGAGGUCAAGCAAACCCCCUAAGCCGGGCCCCAGUUCGGAUUGUAGGCUGCAACUCGCCUGCAUGAAGUUGGAAUCGCUAGUAAUCGCGGAUCAGCUACGCCGC
rnacentral:rRNA from 1 species